UACGAAGGGGGCUAGCGUUGCUCGGAAUUACUGGGCGUAAAGGGCGCGUAGGCGGCCAUUCAAGUUAGGUGUGAAAGCCCUGGGCUCAACCUAGGAAUUGCACUUGAUACUGUUUGGCUUGAGUUCGGGAGAGGUGAGUGGAAUUCCCAGUGUAGAGGUGAAAUUCGUAGAUAUUGGGAAGAACACCAGUGGCGAAGGCGGCUCACUGGACCGACACUGACGCUGAGGCGCGAAAGCGUGGGGAGCAAACAGG
rnacentral:rRNA from 1 species